rnacentral:rRNA from 1 species
UACAGGGGGUGCAAACGUUGCUCGGAAUCAUUGGGCGUAAAGAGCGUGUAGGCGGCCCGGUAAGUCUGUUGUGAAAGUCCAGGGCUCAACCCUGGAAUGCCGAUGGAUACUGCCGGGCUAGAGUUCGGAAGAGGCGAGUGGAAUUCCUGGUGUAGCGGUGGAAUGCGCAGAUAUCAGGAGGAACACCUAUAGCGAAGGCAGCUCGCUGGGACGACACUGACGCUGAGACGCGAAAGCGUGGGAGCGAACAGG